GUGCCAGCCGCGCGGUAAUACGGAGGAUGCAAGCGUUAUCCGGAUUUAUUGGGUUUAAAGGGUGCGCAGGCGGAAUGGUAAGUCAGUGGUGAAAUCUCCCGGCUCAACCGGGAAACUGCCGUUGAUACUGCCGUUCUAGAGUACAGUUGGGGUGGGCGGAAUGUGUCAUGUAGCGGUGAAAUGCUUAGAUAUGACACAGAACACCGAUCGCGAAGGCAGCUCACCAAGUUGUAACUGACGCUCAUGCACGAAAGCGUGGGGAUCAAACAGG
rnacentral:rRNA from 1 species